ensembl:lncRNA
GCUCUACUGUGCUGUUAAGAUGAGGAAUCACAGUAAAGACGGUAUAACCUUUAUCUGUGCGUCCUGUGUGUUCUGACCGACACCCCAAGGGAGUGUGGGGGGGCCACAGCCCCGUCCUCCAGGGUGUGAAGCGGGUAUGGAGGAGAUCAAAACUCCAGACAUCCAGAGGCCCCCAGAACACAAGAGACCAUGGAAGACCAACAGAGGGGCAGCCGCGCCACUGUUCCAGUAAGAGCUGAGGAGAGUCCUAGAUCACCAUCCUUCCAGACCAUCUCCGAGGCAAGCUUUCCCAGAUGAAUGUGCCUGAUCCCAUCUGCCGGUGGAUCACUGACUUCCUGACGGACAGGAAGCAGCACGUGAGGCUGGGGAAGAAUGUCUUGGACUCCCGGACCAUCAGCACCAUCAGAGUGGAUUAUAACACAGAAGCAACAUUACUGAGGGUCUCCACUAGACAUCACCUAGACCCAGAGCUGCAUGAGGCCAGCACAAACAGCGGCCUAUUCGACGAAGAUGAUGGAUCCAUGGGGUCAGGAAAGCCAGAAGCAGGGGAGCUGGAGAGGUACCUUUCAUGUCCAUUCACUGGAGGUGUGGAUCUAUUGCAUGGCUUUCCUCACAUCAAGAAGCUGUCGAUCAAAGUCAAUACAGUUCUUCAUGCAUCUGGAGCUUGUGAAGGACUUCUUAGUCAUGCAGGACUCCUAUUCACUGCUAAACAGUUAAAGCUUCACAGAAAGAACCUCGAGAGCAAACUGCUGCUGAAGCUUAACUAUCACCUCACUGACUGAAGAAAUGGCACAUUUUUGCUAAAUAUGCAGAAAUAAAUGCACACUUAUACAAUUUAUGGAAAACUGAGCUGCCUUGUAUGAACAUGAAGAUGCCUCGUUCUAAUGUUUUCUCUGAGGCUGCUGUGCCAUUUGGAGCAAAAAUGAAUAUAAAGUUUACAGCAUAUCUUGUCACUGGAAAUUGUUUGCACUGUUUAUAUAUUUAUAUUAUUUACUGUAGAUAUUGGUGAAAAAAGCUUUAUGUUGUGAAAAACUGAAAUCUGGAAAUUAGAAUUGUUGUGCCUUAUUUUGUUGAUGUUUUUACAUAUAUUCCUUUUGAACAUAAUAAAAUUUGUAUGUUUAUUUAUUUUUGUUUUUCUAAUAGCAUUUAUUUAUAAAAUAAAUCGGACAUUUUAAACAGUUA